CUGAUCCCUGAGGAGAUGGCUCAUUCUGCCAAGUAAGUUUGAGUCACAACACUGUCUUUGGAAACACCUGCAAACUAAGGCUUCCCUUUAAGUUCACAGAGGAGGAGUUCAAGGUUUUGCAUGCAAGGAACGUGUCCCGGGAAAUGCAGGAGUGCUAGUGAAGACUGGUAGGAAAGGGGAGAGCUUUUCAAAGAGCUGGGCUAGGAACUUUUGCAACUCUCUGGAAUGAGAAAGGAAAAAGGCAAAAGGAGCAGCAGCAACUAGUCCAGCAUGAUGUCAGAGUGGCUGUCAAAGAGGAUUUUUACUCUCGCGCAGGUGUAAGUGGGUGGUUUUUACUCUCAUGCAGGUGUGAGUGGGUGGUUUUAACUCUCAUGCAGGUGAGUGGGUGGUUUUUAUUUUCAUGCGAGUGUGAGUGGGUGGUUUUUACUCUCGUGAAGGUGAGUGGGUGAGUUUUACUCUCAUGCAG
ensembl:lncRNA